rnacentral:misc_RNA from 1 species
CCUCUAAACCUUGUUCGUCAAGAAUUAGCAGGAACUAGCAUAUAUCUGGAUGUAUUACUGAAAACAACUUCAGGUUUCCAUGCUAAUGACGGACAACUUCUGGAAUCUGAAGAUGGUGAUAUUUCUCCAAUGCAAAAUAAUUCAAGCUUCACUGGGGAUGUGGAACUUGAAGGAAUAGCAGAAGAGAAAUUAGUUUCUUUCUGUGAACAGAUGCUUCCUUGAGUACCU